UACAGUCUUAGUUCAAGUGAUUCAAAACGGUUUUAAUUGAGUUACAUUGUAGGGGAUCAGUUUUCUGUUCAGUAGAUGGAAAUCAUUCUGAAUCAUUUGGUUUAGAAACUAGAUAUUACUUUUUGUGAAUAGAUACUGUUAACAGGGUAGGUGUAGAGUACAUGCUACACGGUAUAAAAAUAACAUUCACUGAUGUUCUGACCGUAAAUUAAUCAGAAACUUCCAGCAUCAGUUUGCUUAACAAGUAUUUCAUAUUCUUGUACAUUCUAACUAAAAUGAAUGAGCAAGAAGUGUUAUCACUACAUGUUUCAAAUGGCGAGAAGGGCUCAUCUAAACUGAUCAGUUAAGGCACAAAUUACCUGAUAAAUAUUUAGAGAACAAGGCUUAGAAGAGUCUUGCUCGUUAUUUGUCUAAUUCUCUACUAUAAACAUACAGGUAAUUCAUGAUGUUUACCCUAGGUGCAGUAUCUGGAGAUAACCAUUAAAGAUUUAGUUGCUUUAUCACUGGUGUAUAGCGCUAAGAUGCUUCAGAGAAGUGUAAAACUUUGGCUAAUACAAAACAGACACUGUGUGACACAUAGAUGAUUCCUCAUUUCAGAUUACCUGAACACCAGUCGUGAUACUUAGGAUAUGGCAAAUUUCAUGAGAUCCUGGCCAGCUGAAUUGAAUCCCUAGAAGAAUUCAUCUCACUUAUUCCAGGUCAAUAAAAUGCAGAUGUUUAAAUUCCCAUUGUAAUAAAUGAAAAUCCAGUUAAUAUAGUCAAUGGAACCUGGAAAGCAAUUGAUUUCAUCAUAAAGUAGGCAACCAUAUUCGUUCAGUUUUCAAGGAAUUCAGAUCCCCAGUUCCAGCAAGUUCCAUGUGUCUUUAAAAAGUGUGAUACGGUCAAAACAGAUAGCUGAUCUGACUCUGGUUGGCCCACCACCUGUUUUGCCUCUCUGGACAACAUCAACUUAUCACUGCAUCUUUUGUUUUGAAUUGGGGAUGAAGGGGUGCUGGGAUUUCUUUUUCCUCUGAAUUCCCCUCAUAGCAGUAAGUUCAACUACCAUAAUAAAUAAAUAAGAGAGUAAGUAAUUAAGUAAGUA
rnacentral:lncRNA from 1 species